rnacentral:rRNA from 1 species
AGCAUAUCAAUAAGCGGAGGAAAAGAAACUAACAAGGAUUCCCCUAGUAACUGCGAGUGAAGCGGGAAAAGCUCAAAUUUAAAAUCUGGCGGUCUUCGGCCGUCCGAGUUGUAGUCUGGAGAAGUGCUUUCCGCGCUGGACCGUGUACAAGUCUCUUGGAACAGAGCGUCAUAGAGGGUGAGAAUCCCGUCUUUGACACGGACUACCAGUGCUCUGUGAUGCGCUCUCAAAGAGUCGAGUUGUUUGGGAAUGCAGCUCAAAAUGGGUGGUAAAUUCCAUCUAAAGCUAAAUAUUGGCGAGAGACCGAUAGCGAACAAGUACCGUGAGGGAAAGAUGAAAAGCACUUUGGAAAGAGAGUUAAACAGUACGUGAAAUUGCUGAAAGGGAAACGAUUGAAGUCAGUCGCGUUAGCCAGGACUCAGCCUUGUUUUUACUUGGUGCAUUUUCUGGUUGACGGGCCAGCAUCGAUUUUGAUCGCCGGAAAAAGGUUGGGGGAAUGUGGCACCUUCGGGUGUGUUAUAGCCCUCAAUCACAUACGGUGAUUGGGAUCGAGGACCGCAGCACGCCUUUAUGGCCGGGGUUCGCCCACGUUCGUGCUUAGGAUGCUGGCGUAAUGGCUUUAAACGACCCGUCUUGAAACACGGACCAAGGAGUCUAACAUGCYUGCGAGUGUUUGGGUGGAAAACCCGAGCGCGUAAUGAAAGUGAAAGUUGAGAUCCCUGUCGCGGGGAGCAUCGACGCCCGGACUUGAACUUCGGUGAUAGAUCUGCGGUAGAGCAUGUAUGUUGGGACCCGAAAGAUGGUGAACUAUGCCUGAAUAGGGUGAAGCCAGAGGAAACUCUGGUGGAGGCUCGUAGCGAUUCUGACGUGCAAAUCGAUCGUCAAAUUUGGGUAUAGGGGCGAAAGACUAAUCGAACCAUCUAGUAGCUGGUUCCUG